AGAUUGAACGCUAGCGGGAUGCUUUACACAUGCAAGUCGAACGGCAGCGCGGACUUCGGUCUGGCGGCGAGUGGCGAACGGGUGAGUAAUAUAUCGGAACGUGCCCAGUAGCGGGGGAUAACUACGCGAAAGCGUAGGCUAAUACCGCAUACGCCCUACGGGGGAAAGGGGGGAUCGCAAGACCUCGUCACGUAUUGGAGCGGCCGAUAUCAGAUUAGCUAGUUGGUGAGGUAAAGGCUCACCAAGGCGACGAUCUGUAGCUGGUUUGAGAGGACGACCAGCCACACUGGGACUGAGACACGGCCCAGACUCCUACGGGAGCAGCAGUGGGAAUUUGGACAAUGGGGGAAACCCUGGAUCCAGCCAUCCCGCGUGUGCGAUGAAGGCCUUCGGGUGUAAGCACUUUGCAGGAAGAACGGACGUUGAACUAAUAUUACAGCGUCAC
rnacentral:rRNA from 1 species